rnacentral:rRNA from 1 species
UCAUGUUGUUUAAUUCGAUGAUACGCGAAGAACCUUACCAGGUCUUGACAUCCCCGCCGAUGCUUUAGAGAGUAAAGCGGAGGGUAUUCGGGGAGGACAGGUGGUGCAUGGUUGUCGUCAGCUCGUGUCGUGAGAUGUUGGGUUAAGUCCCGCAACGAGCGCAACCCUUGCCUUUAGUUGCCAGCAGUUCGGCUGGGCACUCUAAAGGGACUGCCGGUGUUAAACCGGAGGAAGGUGGGGAUGACGUCAAGUCCUCAUGGCCUUUAUGACCAGGGCUACACACGUACUACAAUGGCCGAUACAAAGGGCAGCGACACUGCGAGGUGAAGCCAAUCCCGUAAAAUCGGUCUCAGUCCGGAUUGGAGUCUGCAACUCGACUCCAUGAAGUUGGAAUCGCUAGUAAUCGUGGAUCAGCAUGCCACGGUGAAUACGUUCCCGGGCCUU